rnacentral:lncRNA from 1 species
UGCCCGCGUCACACUGUCCCGAUUUUUAUAUACGAUGGUCACCCGAAUACGAAAAUUGUAAGUUCGUAGGAAGUUGGUCCCGAUCUCGUUAAAAUAUCAAAAGGUGACCGAAGAAAAUACGAUGAAUAACGAAGUCUAUUCGAUGGUGCCGAAAUUAUAUACGAAAGCAAAAGAUGGACAUACGAAAGUUAACCGAAGAAGGGUAUUUAAGCUUCAUAACUCAGCCGAAGCCGAUACGAUGGAUCACGAAGGCUACACGAUGGAUUACGAUGAUGGCGCGAUGGCCAUACGAUGUAUAAAAGACGUCGUGUACAGCUUACGAUAAGUAUACAAACGAUCUAAAAAUGCGUUCUACCUGUUUUGAACUUUUUUAUGAUACGAACAGAAUUUCGACAACAUAUUGUUUCUGUACAAGUCUGCCGUGCAUGGCGGAAAAUCGAUUCUUAUAAAACUUAGUGUAUUAAUCCCCUCGCCUACUACAUAUAAGUUGCGUGUAGAUAGAGUUGUUAUGGACACUCUAGAAACAAAA